rnacentral:rRNA from 1 species
UACGGAGGGUGCAAGCGUUACUCGGAAUUACUGGGCGUAAAGCGUGCGUAGGUGGUUUGUUAAGUCUGUUGUGAAAGCCCCGGGCUCAACCUGGGAAUGGCAAUGGAUACUGGCAAGCUAGAGUGCGGUAGAGGGUAGUGGAAUUCCCGGUGUAGCGGUGAAAUGCGUAGAGAUCGGGAGGAACACCAGUGGCGAAGGCGGCUACCUGGACCAGCACUGACACUGAGGCACGAAAGCGUGGGGAGCAAACAGG